CUACGGAGGGAGCAAGCGUUAUUCGGAAUCACUGGGCGUAAAGGACGCGUAGGCGGGUUUGUAAGUCAGGUGUGAAAUCCUACAGCUCAACUGUAGAACUGCACUUGAAACUACAGACCUAGAGUAUGGAAGGGGCAGAUGGAAUUAGUGGUGUAGGGGUAAAAUCCGUAGAUAUCACUAGGAAUACCGAAAGCGAAGGCGAUCUGCUGGGACAUUACUGACGCUGAGGCGUGAAAGCGUGGGGAGCAAACAGGAUUAGAAACCCGAGUAGUCC
rnacentral:rRNA from 1 species